GGGAUCGAAGAUGCUUAGAUACCAUCGUAGUCCUAACCAUAAACUAUGCCGACUGAGGAUUCUUGAAAUUUGUAAAUGAAUUUAAGAGCACUCCAUGAGAAAUCAAAGUCUUUGGGUUCCGGGGGGAGUAUGGUCGCAAGUCUGAAACUUAAAGGAAUUGACGGAAGGGCACCACCAGGAGUGGAGCCUGCGGCUUAAUUUGACUCAACACGGGGAAACUUACCAGGUCCAGACAUAGGAAGGAUUGACAGAUUGAGAGCUCGUUCUUGAUUCUAUGGGUGGUGGUGCAUGGCCGUUCUUAGUUGGUGGAGUGAUUUGUCUGGUUGAUUCCGUUAACGAACGAGACCACAGCCUACUAAAUAGUGCGCGUUGUGGCGACACAGUGAGGAGGCACUUCUUAGAGGGACACUGUGGGUUUACCGGAAGGAAGUUCGUG
rnacentral:rRNA from 1 species